rnacentral:rRNA from 1 species
GACGAACGCUGGCGGCGUGCCUAAUACAUGCAAGUCGAACGCUGAAGGAGGAGCUUGCUCUUCUGGAUGAGUUGCGAACGGGUGAGUAACGCGUAGGUAACCUGCCUGGUAGCGGGGGAUAACUAUUGGAAACGAUAGCUAAUACCGCAUAACAGUAGAUGUUGCAUGACAUUUGCUUAAAAGGUGCACUUGCACCACUACCAGAUGGCCCUGCGUUGUAUUAGCUAGUUGGUGGGGUAACGGCUCACCAAGGCGACGAUACAUAGCCGACCUGAGAGGGUGAUCGGCCACACUGGGAAGGAGACACGGCCCAGACUCCUACGGGAGGCAGCAGUAGGGAAUCUUCGGCAAUGGACGGAAGUCUGACCGAGCAACGCCGCGUGAGUGAAGAAGGGUGUCGGAUCGUAAAGCUCUGUUGUAAGAGAAGAACGAGUGUGAGAGUGGAAAGUUCACACUGUGACGGUAGCUUAACAGAAAGGGACGGCUAACUACGUG